rnacentral:rRNA from 1 species
AGAGUUUGAUCCUGGCUCAGAAUCAACGCUGGCGGCGUGCCUCAGACAUGCAAGUCGAACGCGAAAGUUCCCUUCGGGGAGCGAGUAGAGUGGCGCACGGGUGAGUAACACGUAGGUAAUCUACCUUCGGAUGGGGAAUAACACCGAGAAAUCGGUGCUAAUACCGCAUAAUGCAGCGGCACCUAAUGGUGACAGUUGUUAAAGCGGGGGAUCGCAAGACCUCGCGUCUGAAGAGGAGCCUGCGGCGGAUUAGCUAGUUGGUAGGGUAACGGCUUACCAAGGCGAUGAUCCGUAGCCGGCCUGAGAGGGCGGUCGGCCACACUGACACUGACAUACGGGUCAGACUCCUACGGGAGGCAGCAGUCGGGAAUUUUGGGCAAUGGGCGAAAGCCUGACCCAGCAACGCCGCGUGAAGGAUGAAAUCCCUCGGGAUGUAAACUUCGCAAGAACAGGAAGAAUAAGUGAGAGUUAACACCUCUUACGAUGACGGUACUGUUUGUAAGCUCCGGCUAACUCCGUGCCAGCAGCCGCGGUAAUACGGGGGGAGCAAGCGUUGUUCGGAUUUACUGGGCGUAAAGGGCGCGUAGGCGGCCACCGCAAGUCGAUUGUGAAAUCUCCGGGCUUAACCCGGAAAGGUCAACCGAUACUGCGGGGCUAGAGUGCAGAAGGGGCAACUGGAAUUCUCGGUGUAGCGGUGAAAUGCGUAGAUAUCGAGAGGAACACCUGCGGCGAAGGCGGGUUGCUGGGCUGACACUGACGCUGAAGUGCGAAAGCUAGGGGAGCGAACGGGAUUAGAUACCCUCGUAGUCC